AUGGAUGACUUUUUGAAAGACAAGUGGACGGGUUAUUCCUUUGUGCAGGAUGGGGAGAUUGAUGCAGAGGAGCUUCAGAGGUGUCUUACACAGACUGGUAUCAGUGGCACCUAUACUCCCUUCAGUUUGGAGACAUGUAGAAUCAUGAUCGCAAUGCUGGAUAGAGACAUGACCGGAAAGCUGGGCUUCAAUGAGUUCAAGGAGCUGUUUGCUGCCUUGAGUGGCUGGAAGCAGAACUUCAUGAUGUUCGACCAGGACGGAGUGGCACGGUGGAACCCCAUGAGAUGACCCAGUCCAUCUCCGCUAUGGGCUACAGGAUCAGCCCGCAAGCUCUGAACGCUGUCAUCAAACGCUACAGCAAGGCUGGACGGAUCUAUUUUGAUGACUAUGUCGCAUGUGCUGUGAAGCUUCGCGCCCUCACAGAGAGCUUCAGGAGGAGAGACCAGAUGCAGCAGGGGGCUGUCAACUUCCAAUACGAUGACUUUAUCCUGUGUACAAUGGCCAUCUGAGUGGAGUGGCCUGGCCCGGGCCCAUCCCGUGCUGGAGUCAAGAGGGGCACUUCAACCGGCAGUCUGGGGCUCGCUGACCACUUCCCUAAAUAAUGGGAAGGCACCAAUCAAUAUUAGCCAAUAAUUCUUAGGUCGAUUCCCAUGACCAACUUACAAUGGGGAAGGAGGUUACAACAGAAACGGUUUGUUUGCCAUAAUGUCUGCCUUGUACACAAUACAGGAAUGUGCAGAUUUGCCAGAUAACACAUGGCGUGUUUCUAAAUGUAUCUGCUUGUUGUAAAUUCUGUUGCUAACUGACAGUGGUAGGUUUAAACCAAGAAAGGGAUGGCAAAGCUGUUACUGAUCUUUACCACGGUGACUUUUGUGCCAUUACAAUCUCGGAUCGUCGCUUUCCAGAGUCAUCCCCACCACUGUAUAUGUUGUUUUUGUAACCACUAUAUAUAUAUUUAGGUGUGAAUUACUUUUACAUUAAACACUCCAUACAUUUUGAAGUAUAGAUAUAAUAUUUUUAUUACAAAUAUACAGUUAUGCCGGCGCUGCAUUUUUUUGUUGUUUUAAGGAUAACUAUAUGCGUCUCUUGAUUUGAAUGAAAUGUGGCCUAACAUAAUACACAAAUUAAACAUUAGGGCGUCCACAAAUGUAUGAAUAACCUGCACUGUGUUGUAAACAUGCACUGUUAUUCCUUUGCAAAGAAAAGCAUGCAUUCACUACCACCAACAAUUACAUGUACAACAUUGUUUUUGUGAUAACCUGCAUUUUUAUAGUUCAGGGUGAAAUAUUUAUCAGACAUGUAGUUAAGUGCAUUGUGACCAUUGGGGCAUUCAUCAGUGAUAUUGGUGUUAUUCACAACACAAUAAACUCAGUUUGUAGUCA